rnacentral:lncRNA from 1 species
UCAGGAAAAUAAAUUGAGGGCUCCCACUGAUUCUACAUUAUGUUCAGUGGCUAAUCUUGAAACAGACUUUCAGGCAUAGAGAACUAGCUGCAAAAUUUCAGAGAUACCUCAAGGCAGUUAGUCAACAACUUGGACAUCGUUGAGAUGACACCAGCCCAUGAUCCAGGUGGACCACAGCUUGAGAUAGCCACUGGAAUAAGACACACAGACCUUAUACUCUGCACCCUUCCUGCAUGUUUCCCAUUCCAAGUUUCCCCUUUUAAGCCCCUUGCCCCAGCCUAAAGUUUGAAGUGCUUACUUUGGAAGUGAAUCCAGCCACUUAACCACUGCUAGUUAUGGUAAAUAAAGCUACUUUC